rnacentral:tRNA from 1 species
AGGUAGGGUGGCCGAGUAGGCGGCGAGCUGUAGCCUCGUGCACGGGUCAAAAGGCCCCCCUGUCAG